GUAGUCCUGGCAGUAAACGGUGCACGUUUGGUGUGGGAGGAUUCGACCCCUUCCGCGCCGGAGCUAACGCGUUAAACGUGCCGCCUGGGGAGUACGGUCGCAAGAUUAAAACUCAAAGAAAUUGACGGGGGCCCGCACAAGCGGUGGAGUAUGUGGCUUAAUUCGAUGCAACGCGAAGAACCUUACCAGGCCUUGACAUGCAUUUCUAAGUUGGUGAAAGCCAGCGAGUCUCGAAAGAGACAACUUGCACAGGUGCUGCAUGGCUGUCGUCAGCUCGUGUCGUGAGAUGUUGGGUUAAG
rnacentral:rRNA from 1 species